rnacentral:rRNA from 1 species
GAUGAACGCUGGCGGCGUGCCUAAUACAUGCAAGUCGAGCGAACGGACGAGAAGCUUGCUUCUCUGAUGUUAGCGGCGGACGGGUGAGUAACACGUGGAUAACCUACCUAUAAGACUGGGAUAACUUCGGGAAACCGGAGCUAAUACCGGAUAAUAUUUUGAACCGCAGGGUUCAAAAGUAAAAGACGGUCUUGCUGUCACUUAUAGAUGGAUCCGCGCUGCAUUAGCUAGUUGGUAAGGUAACGGCUUACCAAGGCAACGAUGCAUAGCCGACCUGAGAGGGUGAUCGGCCACACUGGAACUGAGACACGGUCCAGACUCCUACGGGAGGCAGCAGUAGGGAAUCUUCCGCAAAGGGCGAAAGCCUGACGGAGCAACGCCGCGUGAGUGAUGAAGGUCUUCGGAUCGUAAAGCUCUGUUAUUAGGGAAGAACAUAUGUGUAAGUAACUGUGCACAUCUUGACGGUACCUAAUCAGAAAGCCACGGCUAACUACGUG